rnacentral:snRNA from 1 species
UUUUGGUCCCAAGGCUCGCU